rnacentral:rRNA from 1 species
UGGGGAAUCUUGGACAAUGGGGGCAACCCUGAUCCAGCCAUGCCGCGUGGGUGAAGAAGGCCUUAGGGUUGUAAAGCCCUUUCAGUCGUGACGAUGAUGACGGUGGCGACAGAAGAAGCACCGGCUAACUCCGUGCCAGCAGCCGCGGUAAUACGGAGGGUGCAAGCGUUGUCCGGAUUUAUUGGGUUUAAAGGGUACGUAGGCGGGCUAUUAAGUCUGGGGUGAAAGCUUUCGGCUCAACCGGAAAAUUGCCCUGGAUACUGGUAGUCUUGAGUACAGUAGAGGUGGGCGGAAUUCAUGGUGUAGCGGUGAAAUGCAUAGAUACCAUGAGGAACACCGAUAGGGAAGCCAGCUCACUAGACUGUCACUGACGCUGAGGUACGAAAGCGUGGGGAGCGAACAGGAUUAGAUACCCGCGUAGUCC